rnacentral:rRNA from 1 species
UACGAAGGGGGCGAGCGUUGUUCGGAUUUACUGGGCGUAAAGGGCGCGUAGGCGGCGGACCAAGUCGAGUGUGAAAGCCCCGGGCUCAACCUGGGAGGUGCGCUCGAGACUGGUCUGCUUGAGUUCGGGAGAGGAGCGUGGAAUUCCCAGUGUAGAGGUGAAAUUCGUAGAUAUUGGGAAGAACACCGGUGGCGAAGGCGGCGCUCUGGACCAGCACUGACACUGAGGCGCGAAAGCUAGGGGAGCAAACGGG